rnacentral:rRNA from 1 species
UACGGAGGGUGCGAGCGUUGUCCGGAAUCACUGGGCGUAAAGGGCGCGUAGGUGGCGCGGGCAGUCAACGGUGAAAGUUCGGGGCUCAACCCUGAAUCGGCCGUCGAUACUCCCGGGCUUGAGCACUGUAGAGGCAGAUGGAAUUCCGGGUGUAGCGGUGGAAUGACGUAGAGAUCCGGAAGAACACCGGUGGCGAAGGCGGUCUGCUGGGCAGUAGCUGACACUGAGGCGCGACAGCGUGGGGAGCAAACAGG